rnacentral:rRNA from 1 species
AAUGAACGCUGGCGGCGUGCCUAACACAUGCAAGUCGAACGAGAAACCUCGAAAGGGGUGAGUAAAGUGGCGGACUGGUGCGUAACGCGUAGGAAUCUACCCUUUUGUGAAGAAUAACCUCGAGAAAUCGAGAUUAAUGCUGCAUAAGUCCCUAACGGGAGAAAGAUGGCCUCUUUGCCAUCGCAGAAGGAUGAGCCUGCGUACUAUUAGCUAGUUGGUAGGGUAAUGGCCUACCAAAGCGAUGAUGGUUAACCGGCCUGAGAGGGUGGUCGGUCACAUUGGGACUGAGAUAUGGCCCAGACUCCUACGGGAGGCAG